CUCAGUGAGUUGCCCGGUCAUGUUAGUGUGCUCAGCACGGCCCGAUACUUACAGUCGUACUAGGUUCUGUCGGAAAUAUACUAAUUGAUGGGUAGGACGUAUUAACUUUAAAAUGCAAAAAUCGCUAUUAUAUUUUAUUUUCGGUUUUCACGGUGGUAAAUUAUUGGUGCAAAUUGUGUUCUUGGGUUGUUCCAUUGUAUUACUGACGACGUUGCCCACGUUUCGGAGGUACAUGCUGCCUCCAUCUUCAGAUAUUACGAACCUCCAAAGACGACCACAAGCACAUAUGUGGACUUGCUGACGGAAGUUGUGCUGCAUGUGAGACUCUGGAGAGAACUGUUCACGUACCUGGUUCCGCAAUUAACAGAAAUGGCGUCUCCCAGAGAGAAGAGCUUUUGCGUAAUGGAGUACAAGAAAGCAAAUUCAUGAACCAGUGUUCAGCGGACGUUCAGGAAACGAUUUCGUAUGGAUCCACUUCCUCGAGCAUCGAUACAGACGUGGUGUGACAACUUUGAAAACUAGAGAUGCAUUUGUAGGAAGAAAAGCAGUGGCCGUCCUCGUGUGCGUGAUGAGGCUGUGCGGUAGGUGGAAGUGCAAGGAAACCUGUGCGGGAGGGAAACCUGAGUUAGAGACUCUCGAAAACGACCGUGUGUCCAGUUAUGCGCAGAUGGGUGUGCAUGAAACCUUACAGUGCCACGCUACCAAACUUUGGACUGGGAGAGCUGGAGUUGCAGAUGAAGUGGCCUCCCCGCUCUCCCGAUCUCACUUCAUGUGACUUCUUUCUGUGGGGUUAUGUAAAGGAACAAGUGUUUGUGCCACCUUUACCACUGGAUAUUGAUGAAUUGAAGCCGAGAAUUACUGCAGCUGUCGAAACAUUUGACAGGAACAUGUUAGGAGAAUGAGAUGAGCUGGAUUACAGACUGGACAUUUGGAGAGUCACAAAUGGAGCUCACAUUGAGCACCUUCAGGGUGUCUAAAACUUUCGGAGUUUGUCGCUCAAAUGGUACUAGUAGUAAUACUUACCUUUGUAUAACAAAUUGAAAUUGUAUCAAUCACCUGCUGAGACCCUGUACUGGUAAUUUACUCUUCAUGUUUUGAAAGAGGAAGAUUGUGUUGAAUGGAAAUAGACAUUCCCGGAUAUCAAUCUGAUCUCUCUUUCGUAUGUGUGUGUGUGAAUGAGAGAGGGGGGAGGAGAAUAUAAUUGUUUUCUUGCAGCAGAGAAAUACAACGACAACAUCGACAUGUGUGGUAGUGGCAUCAAAA